CUCUGAACAGACUAUAGACUAGAUAGUGACAGCCUUACUAAUAUGUGAUGAAGCCAUUGCAGAUUAGUUAUCUAACCCUAUCAAACUAGUAAUCUAGUCUUAUUAAAUUUAGAGUUUCACUGGUUGUUAUGGCAAUAUAUAGUGUCAAACACCAGAAUGAAACGGGUGUUUUUUCUUUUAUUAUCCAUUUAAGAUAGGCAAUAUUGGAUGAGUUUUGGGGCAAGUGUCAGAUAUUAUCACUUAUCACUUAGUAUAUAUCAGAGGUGUACCCUUAAAGAAAAAGCAGUAUCUUAUUUCACCAUUAGGUCAUUCAAGAGCUUUGUUUUGAGACUCCUGACUCCCAGCUAUUUUUUAGUGGGAUUGGGUUACCAGUUAGGUACGGCUCGGUCACUAAUUUAGUGAUUCCAGUCUAUAUUUGGCAGCUGGGUUCUAAAUGGGGGCUGGGCAGCUUGGUGGGUUGGGUACUUAUCUCACAAUCAGGAGGUUGAGAGUUCAGUCCCAGGUCAUGGUUGCUUUUUGGUGAGAGAGGUAGCACUCUCUUGUAACCGUAGCAGAGCUGUGUGGUCUUAGCUCCCCAGUUUUGGGAGAUUGUAUUUUAAUCACCUUUAAUCUAUAUAGGAGAGGUUUGGAGUUAGGCCCUAGUUUUAUUUUAAUCACCUUUAAUCUAUAUAGGAGAGGUUUGGAGUUAGGCCGUAGCAUUAGAAAUUUGAAUUAUGCUGUUUGUAUAUUUAGAUUUACCAAGCAGUUUGUGAGAUCAUAACAAACAGUAGUGCAACUCAAACCAGCCAAGAGAAUAAUAUGAAAUUUAUAGUGGAUAUUCAACCAUUGACAUCAUCCAUGUUAUCAAUUAAGAUGUCAAAUAUAACGACUGAGUACAAUAAACAACUAUUCAUGGCUCUCCUUGACUUAAAAAAAAUAUUUGACUGUUAAGAGCUUCAGCAGUGAUGCAGGCAGUCAGGAAGUAAGGUGCCGGUGAAGUUGGUGAACCAUAUAUUAGUGUCUUGAAAGAUGCAGAUAAACAGGACAGCAACCAUUAAAUUUUACUAGAAAAGCAAGAAAAUUCAGAAAAAAAGUGUCAUAUAUGUUGAAGUUUUUACUUGGUUAAUUGUUAGUAAUGUGUGUGGAUUUUUAAAGUGGUGCAGCAAUGAUCCUGCUUGACCCACUCUCUUCUGUUAUUUUGCUGUAUCUGAUGGUUAUAUCUUGAAUAAACAUUGCAUAGUGUAAAUUAGCAUAUAAUCAACAUUUAUAUGUAUUGAUUACAUAGCUUGAUGUGUUUCAUGGGUCCUGAGCAACAUUACACAGCAUUGUGCAACACGGUGCAACAUACCAUAUCUUUCUAAAGGCUUAGAAGCCAUCGCAGUAUGCAUAUGAAGAUAUAUGAAGGAAUAAUAGUACAAUACAGCCUAUAGCACGCUCGCAAAAUAUGUUUUCCAUGUUUUCCUUAAAAAAAAAGAUGGAAGCACACCUAAUAGCAAGUAGUGCCAUCUGGUUUGUGGCUGACAAAAAUAAAUAUAGUUGACAAAAUCAUGAUGAAUAAGAAGUGGGAAUCUUAUGUAUCAGUGUCUAGACGAAGUAGUGGAAAGGAAAGUAAAGAGUAUUAGACCUCAAGGGUGUGAAUGUAGUGACGAGGAGCAUGACUGGAACCGUCUCGUAAAAGUGCUUGAGGAUGACCAGCGUUUAUCACUUCUACAAAAAGUUACCAAUGAAGUGGGAAGUGAAAUAAGCUAAGAAAAAAAAGAAAAAACUACAUGAUCAUAUCUAGUGUCUGGCCCACUUUUUAAGACGCACGAUAGACAGGUUAAUUAGUUAUCUUUGCCGCGGAAAGGCAACGCCGGUUCUGCUGUUAUGUAAUAUUAGAGUUCCAGAUGAUGACUUGCACUCUGGUAACCUCUUGUAUAGUGUUUCUUUGUGCUCUAGAUGUUAUCUUCCUAUGGUUGGCAUAAUUUGUUUAUCGCGCGCGUCCCUGUGUGUGUGUGUGUGUGUGUGUUCCUAGUUCAACUCGAGACUUAUGGGAAUAUGUUUUUUUUUUGUUUUCCUGGAUCCAAAGGUACGAAUAUAAAUCCUACGUAUCAGUAUGGCGCGCUGUCAGCCACUGGUAUGCAGGUAUUAUGUAUAUGGAGUAGUUGCACCACACAUUCCACACAUCUCUAUAUACCGGUACAUAAUAACUGCUAUCCAUCUAUUUCGAAAACUUGCUUGCUACCUAUAUACCUCGCCUGGAUGUGACGGUUCAGCAAAUCUCUAUAUUAUAUUUUCUUCCUGUCACGGUUGGAGUGGCAAGUUGAUACAAUUGCGUAGUCUGUCACACCUCGUGCCGAUGAAAGACAAAACAAGGUGCGCGACAGACACAUGGACACACUGGAGACACAUGAGGCAGAAGCACCACGCUUUCGUGCAUGUAUCGCCAACAAAUACUCUACUCCAUUGAAAGUGUUGUAGGACUUAAGAUUAGAUGAGAUAAUAUUCAAGACACGACCUUGGUUUGGGCGGAGCGGGGCAGAAGCGCCCUACAUUCUGUGCUCUUAUUGGCAGCCCCGCACCACAGGCUUGCCACGCGCCCUUACACGCACCGACGUUCAUUUAUGGUGUGUGUGUGUGUGUGUGUGUAUGUCGAGUAUAUAGGCUAGUCAUCUUACUCAUUGGCAUUCUCAGUUGAAAAUCAUUCGUAAGUUUACAACAUUUGAAACGCUGUGAUGUACUUGAAACGAUGAGCUGUGUUGUGUUUUACCACCUGACAGCUUGAGAGAGAGAGAGAGAGAGAGAGAGAGAGAGAGAGAGAGAGAGAGAGAGAGAGAGAGAGAGAGUUUAGGUACGGAAAUAUGAACCGUGAAUGAAAGUUUUGAUUGUUGCUAAAUUGAGCUUGGAAAUGAAAUGACUCUUCGACACGUGGGUGGGAGCUGGUGUGUCCUUGAUCAACGUCGUCAUAGAGGUGGGAGAUGCGAGUUGACGUGAGGGCUUGAUUUUUACUAAUGUUCGAAAAGUACUUACCAAUCCUCUUUAACAGUGGCAGUGGGAGUAGCAGCAGUCUUCUCUUAAGUGUGGCAGUGGGAAAAAGGAGCAGUCUUAACCGUCUCAGUGGGAAAAGUGGCAGUCUCAUUUAACGAUGCCAAUGUAAAAAGUAGCAGUCGUCUUUCAAGUGUGGUAGUGGGAAAAAAGUAGCAGUCUUAUUAACCGUUUCAGUGGGGAAAUGUAACAGCUUUUUUUAACUGUGGCCGUAGAAGAAAGUAGCUCCUCUAACUAUGGCAACGAGAAUCAGAAUCAGUAGAAGUCUAUAAAUGUGGCGGUGUGAAAAGUAGCAGUCUUUUCUCUCUCUGGCAAGACUAAUGAGCGUGGUUGAUAGGCGUGGUUCAGACUGUUGGAGGAAAACCAUUUCUAACGAGGCGAGGUGGUCGGGGGUGACUGGGCCGGGGUGGGUGGGGGUGAGGGGGGAAGGGGAGCGGAUCAAGACUUUCCCUGCAGAUCGCCAGUCACCCUCGCCCUCACCCAGUGGUUGCCUCCUUUGGUGGUGGGGACCUUGCCUCGGCCACAGGUUGUCCCUCCUCACCCCUGAUAUUCAUCCCUUAUGUUUUGUUCUGUGGGUAAAAAAUAAGAAAUAUCGCAGCUUAUUCUUGCCUGGGGGAGGUAUCAGACCGUGAUGCUGUAUGCGGUGUGUGUGUGUGUGUGUGUGUGUGUGUGUGUGUGUGUGUUUUCCUUAUUAUUUGCAUUUUAAAAAGGAUUGAGUUGAGCUCGUAAUGUCAAGUGUGUGUGUGUGUGUGUGUGUGUGUGUGUGUGUGUGUGUGUGUGUGUAAGUAGCAGCGUUAGGUGAUGUGGGAUAAAGAGCUGUGUUUGGAGGUGGUGGUGGUGGAGGUGCCGUCGCAAGAACCGGUUCAAGCGGUGUGUCCGCGUUUUUUCCUUCCUUUUUGUAACUUUCUUCACAAGUGACGGUGCAUGGCCGAGGUAUAAUGUUCUUGUAAUUGUGCCGGCUUACAUGGAACAAACCUUUCUUGUAGCUAAUGAGCCGGUUAAGCAGGGAGAAAAGCAGGGGCUGACAGUGUUUGCUAAGUUUAAUAAUUGCUUGAAUUGAAUUGAAUCUCGUCCAGUUAGUACUAGUUCAGUGCAAAACAAAGGCCUUUCCGAGCGUUUUCCAGUGUUCUGUCUGAUGUAACUGUACUCCAUCAUGCUCUGGCAAGCUCAUAUUUAACCUCACUGCCUCAGUCGCCGUCUUCCUGGACUGUACGAUUCUUGGGUUGCCUCAUUUAUUUUGGAACCCAAGCACUCAAGACGCACCGCUCAGGGAGAGGCUCACUUAUUACCGGGGAUCGGGUUUGACUCUUAUUAGCAUUACGUGUGCAGGAGGGAAUCGUCGGUGUUUGUGGAAUUAGAGCCUUUUCUUUGUGCCGAACGUCGAGGAAUCCGUCCUCUUACUCUGACGUACAAUGCAUGAAAUAUUAUUCUUUACCGGUGAUCAGCUUUUGUUCUCAGGGGUUUUACGUCACCGCUGUUUGUGGAAUUGAAGCGUUUUCCAGUUUUCCUUGAACUGGAUAUUGAAUCGAGGAAUCUAUUUACUUCGUCAGACACACACAACUGGGAAAAAAAAGAGAUUCACGGUGGUGGUGUUUGUUUGGUUUCAUGGUAGGCCGAACGGUGUUGUAGAGUAUUGUGAAUAUUACUUGAUUUUUUUUUUUUGGAUGGGAAUGAUAAGCGUAGACACCGUAAAGCCCCGUUCACACUGUUCCGACUCUGCGCCACGACAACCCAUCGACUUUUAGGCCCCCUUCACACUGGGUCGAAUCAGCAUCCAGCGAUCGUUUCUAGACCUUUCCGACCAUGUGCGACCCUUUCACAUCAACAUUUCACACCCAAGAACUCGAAUACCCCGAGUCGCUGGGUUGUCGUGGCCCAGAGUCGGCACAGUGUGAACGUGGCGUAAGAAAUGAUGAAUAGGUUCGUGAGUUCUGUUAUUCCAGGCAGUCGUGCAUUCAGGGUAAACCACAACAUUCUGAAAGUAGUUAUGUGACAUGCGUUUGAGAGGAAGUCUUUGGGAGUAUAUUGCGCGCGAACGGUCGGUCUUUGCAGUUGAUGAUAUGCGUGAGUGGGGGCAGUUUUCCUUGUUUGUAUUAUUAUGGAGGAUGUGUUUGAUGAGUUAAGAAAUGCAUGACGCGAACGGAUGGUCUUUACAGCUGGUGUCUUGCAUGAGCUGAAGCAGUUUUCGUUGUUUGUAUUAUAUGAAGGAUCUGUUUGAGAAGAAAUCUUUUGAAUAAUGUAAUGCGAACGGCCUUGCCUUUACUUUGUUUUGCAUAUGUUGGAACAGUUUUUCUUGCUUGUAUUAUGUGGCAUAUAAGUCUGGUAAGAAGUCUUUAGAAACACAUCACGCGAACGGCCUUGUAUUUGCUUUGUUUUGCACAUGUUGGAACAGUGUUUCUUGCUUGUGUGGCAUAUAAGUCUGGUAAGAAGUCUUUAGAAACACAUUACGCGAACGGCCUUGUCUUUGCUUUGUUUUGCAUAUGUUGGAACACUUUCUUUCUUGUGUUGUGUGGCGUAUAAGUCUGAUGAUAAGUCUGUAGAAACAUCACGUGAACAGCCUUUCCUUUGCCUGUGUUGGAGGAUUUUUUUUCUUGAAUGUAAGACAAGGCUUUCGUAGUCCACUCAGAACCCUCUUAGUGUGCUCAGAUGGCAUUACCGAUCCUCCUGACGUGUUGUGGCGCGGGUGCUGUAAGCCGUACGUGACUGCCGUGAUUUUUGGAGACUUCAGUAUAGUAGAUAGACACCAGCCAUCCCUCCCUCCCUCCGACCUUAACUCACCCCAACCCGCUCACCCCCGCUCACCCCAUCCCCCUCCACUCCACCUUCACCACGACCCUCCCCAUUCUCUUACGCAACCACUUGUUCUUCAUCGAGGUGCCUGUAUUGCCCGGAGUACCCCCCCCCAACCCCCGAGCCAUCUGCACAAACCGCCCACGGAGCUUCGUCGAUGAUUGCUCUUUGGGACAGGAGCUAAUGGUAGUGCGUUGCCCGUUUCAUGAUUUUUUUUUUUUUUCUGCCUCAGGUGCUUGUUCUGUCCAUGGACCUACCCCUUUGCUUUUCCAUUGUGUUCCCUUUCCUUCACUCGCUUCUGUUCGUCUUCCUAUGCCUCUUUCUUCUCCUUUCUCUUAGUUUUAUCUCCUUCCUUCAGUUUCAUCUUUUCAUAUUCCCAUCUUUCAUUUCCUUUCUCUUUGUUGCAAUUUCUUCCCUUCGACGUCAACUUGUAACACUUAUUAAACCCAGCAUUCCUACUCUUCAGGUUUCAAGUUAAGUACCUAUCUAGCACCCACAUGAUCUUUGCUGUCCAGUGAUAAGAUGUUUUUCACUCAUUCAUUCAUUUCGAGGUGUUUGUGUGUGUGUGUGUUCUACGUUCUGGUGGAAGAGACGCAAUGGUGGAGGAUCCGAGGAAGAAAGAAGGCAAGGUCUAAAGGAAGUUUGGGAGAAGGUGGCGUGGUUUUGCGAGGUGGACGAAGUGCUGCAUCGCUUCACUAGCUGACCCGAACCCACCAUCCUCUCCUUCACUUUCCCUGGGCAUCGAGUUUUUUGUCUGAUUUUAUUGGGCAAGGCCUUCGACGGUGUUUAGUGGGGAGAGACUGGAGUGGAGGGAGGAAGGAGAUUGUGGCGCGGUGUGGUUAGUGGUGCUGAUGGUUGUACUGGCAGUGUGGUAGGGAGGAAGAGGAUAAACCGGUCUUACUUUGUGUGUGUGUGUGUGUGUGUGUGUGUGUGUGUGUGUGUGUUGCCGUAUCUCGCUAUGGAAACACCUGUUCUUUCCUAACGUACCUGUCUUCCUUGUCUCAUUAAUAUUUAUCACCUUUCCUUCCCCUAACCUCUGCCACCUCUUCAUGUUCCCUCUUUCCACACUUGCAUCUUCAUCAUUUUCAUCGUCAUCACAUCCCCCUUUCCCUUCCCGCGGUUUUUGUACCCUGUCAUCUCCCCUUCCCCUUCUCCCUUUCCUGCCCUUUCUUCCCAUCCAUCCAUACAUGUGCGUGGUCGCGUUCAUCCAGAUAUUCCUCCCCAUUUCCUGUUACCCUUUCCUCACCCUCCUCCUCCUCCUCUUCCUCUUCCUCUUCCUCUUCCUCCUGCCCCUUUUCCUCGUACUUUCUCCUCUCACUCUCAGAAGCUACCUCAUGUCCCCGUCUGGUCUUGUGUAGCCUCCUUAUAUCUCUAUGUAUCUUCGAACAUAUUGCGGUCUCUUAGUUCAGCACCUCUUCCUCAUCUUCCCUUACCCUCCCACCUUCUUUAACCACUAACCCCAUGACAUACCCUCUUCAUUGAUCCACCUCAUUCACAGUCACCUCAUGCAACCUCUUCUCUCCUCCCUUGCCUUCCCACCUUCUUUAACCACUAACCCCACGACAUACCCUCUUCAUUGAUCCACCCCAUUCACAGUGUCACCUCAUGCAACCUCUUCCCUCCUCCCUUCAUUUUUUCCUAACACACUUACUACUUUGCCUUCUCUCGGUUCAGCGCUUCCUUUCUCACCCGCAUCCUUUUUGCCUCUGUAACCUGUGGUGUGUCCAUUCAUUCACUCACCCCGUUCAUGCUGUCCUGUCACCCCGUCCCGUCACCCCGUUCCAGCCUCCUCCACGCUCUCUUCUUCCUCACGCUCCCAGCUCCCCGUCUCCCCACUCCUACCCCGUCCUUUCAUCCCUUCUCACACGACACGUUUAGCCAGCACCUCCUCCUCCUCAUCUCGGUUUAACCACUAACCGCGUGACGUAACCUUCCUCCUCCUCCUCCUUCCAACCCAUUCAUCUCUCCCAUCUGACCCACUUUCAGUACCCCCCUCCCCCCAUCUUCCACCCAUUAGCCUAUUACCUAUUCCUUCUCUUUCCAUCCCGUUCAUGAUCAUACGUCUUCCUGGCCCAGUUUCCAAAGUUAAGAGGGUAUUUAUGGGUUGUUGAAUCAUAGUUUAAUCCCUCUCCGCAGUCUCAGGCUUACAAACUUUACUUACCGUUUACAUAUCUCUAAUUGGAACUUUUUAUUUUUAUUUUUGGAUUGUAUGCGCUAGUGUACAUUAUAUAACCAAAUUGGGAAUCCUCCUCCAAAGACGUCACUAGUACUAGAAAGUCUCUGACGGAAAAGCGGUGAUGCCAAGUUUGUCUUUUUUUCCCUCUUCUAAAUUUAGCUCCUCUGUCGAAGGUUAAGUCGUAGGAAGGAAGGAAGGAAGGGAGGGAAUAGCUACAGUGGUUGACGUGUGUGUGUGUGUGUGUGUGUGUGUGUGUGUGUGUGUGUGUAGCAAUGACCAUGAUGCAAUAUAAAUAAACAAACAGCAUGCGUAUAACAACAACAAAAAAAAUAUGAAAAG